rnacentral:ribozyme from 13 species
AAAAUGAGAAAAAAAAUUUAGAAAAAGAGGAAAAAGGAGAAAAAGAAGAAAAAUAUUUUUCUCACUCAACAACCUCAAACUUUCUUUUAUCUUUUUCUUCUUCUUCUUCCUUUAUCUCUU